rnacentral:rRNA from 1 species
UUCAGAUCGCAGUCUGCAACUCGACUGCGUGAAGUCGGAAUCGCUAGUAAUCGCGGAUCAGCAUGCCGCGGUGAAUACGUUCCCGGGCCUUGUACACACCGCCCGUCACACCAUGAGAGUCGGGAACACCCGAAGUCCGUAGCCUAACCGCAAGGGGGGCGCGGCCGAAGGUGGGUUCGAUAAUUGGGGUGAAGUCGUAACAAGGUACC